rnacentral:tRNA from 1 species
GGUGGGUUAGCUCAGUGGUAGAGCGUUGGAUUCCAGACCCAUCGGUCAUGGGUUCAACUCCAUACUCCUCA